GGAGAAGGAGGAGGAAGAGGAGGAGGAGAAGGAGGACGACGACGACAACCAGGAGGAGGAAGGAGUGACAGCCGGAGGGUGGCUCCGGGCAGUGCACAGGGGCCCAAGAUAAAUAUCCAGAAAGGUUGUCAUUUGUGUGGAGGGCCAGAACUCUGAAGAGGUAUACUCGAAUCAAGGACAGAAUGGUGCUUGUGGUUGAGCACCUACUCAGUGUGAGAUAAUGGUUCUCUAUGGUGAUGUAAUGGUUGUGCUUGCUAAGUGUGCUGUAGUGAUGUAAUCAUACUGAGAUAUUUAAGGGAGUCUCAAACACAGAAUAUGUUCUCAGCCACAGCUCUCAGCCACAGACACAGAGAAGACUUCAGCUCCAAACUUCAGAUUCCCUACUCCAUCUUUGACUAGCCACGUGGUAGCUCUCCUGCUUCUUUCACUUUUCCACCUAAAGACCAAGGACUCGGGCUGAUCUUGAGGUCUUCCAGAGAGCUAACCCUGACCUUACAUUUUUUAAGACAAACAUGGGGCCCUAGAAACCCAAGGUCUUGGAAAGCAGGGUAUAAAGCAGUUCUACUGUUGCAAUCUUAAGCUCAGUGGAGAAGUCCCUGUGACCCAGAAAUAGGGUGAGUAUAAAAAUAGACAAACAGGAAACUUUGGGAAGGGCUAAACUACUCACUUUCAGUUUUUUUAGCUGAAAUGGGGCAAAUACUUAAAAAAGAACAUCCUCCACCCUAAAGGAAGUAUGUAGAAUGCAUAGUUAGGUUAAUAAAGAAGCAAGAUUUGUUGGUAACUCAGAGGCAGAUUACUGGACUCUUAAAUAUAUUAAAGUGCAUGUGUCCUUGCUAUCUAAGGAAGAAAAAGUAGAGUUAGAUAUGUGGGAACUAGUGGGAGAGCCACUAAUUGAAUAUUAUGAAGCUAUGGGUCCUGAUUCAAUUCCUGAAGAAACAUUCCUUAUGUACAAUAUAAUACAAUUGGCUUUAAAGGCUCCCAAGUCUUAGUUACAUCCUAGCAGGCACCCUUAGGGCAUUCCCCAUCUUCUGACCAUCCUCCCUCAAUUUUGCCUUUGUGGGUGGAGGGAGGAAGAGGAGUGGGAGGGACAGUGACACCAUCAGCACCACCCAUGUAGCAACUUUGUCUACCCACUAUGACAUGAUUACAAAGGGCACUAAUUAAAGUUAAAGAAGAAGGACAGGAUGCAUUGAUUUGAGAAUAAAAAUAUAUCCUGCAAUUGAAGAGUUUGACUCUUCAGAUCAAGAAAAAAGAAGAUACACUCUUUUAAUAUGGAAAUUUUCAAAGACUUGCACUCUUUAUGGGUCUACAUCAUCUUAUAUUAAGAUAUUAUUAGAGAAUUUGGCUUUUGAAGUUUUAACCCCUAAUGACUGGAAAUCUAUAGCAAGGACAUGUUUAAAACCUGGCCAUAUUUGUCAUGGCUUUCUGAGUAGAUUAAACUGUGUAGAAUAUAAGCCCAAUUAAAUAGAUAACCUGGGGUUAAUAUACUAAUCACUUUUGACCAACUAACAGGUGUAGAUUCUUUUGCAGACACUUUAGCAUAGAUUAAUUACCCUUUGACAGCAUAUGAACAAAUUGCUUCUGCUGUUAUCAAAGCAUGGGGCAUCCUCCCAGGAAGACAAGAAGAUAGAGGGGAAGCUUUCACAAAAAUAGCACAAGGUCCAAAUGAACCCUUUGUUGAUUCCGUGGGACAUCUGCAGACAGCUGUCAUACGAACUACUGGUGAAAAUGUAGCAACAGAAAUUAUGAUAAGACAAUUUGCUAAAGAAAAUACUAAUGAAGUUUGUAGAAGAAUUAUACUAGGACUACACAAGGAUGCUCUUUUAGAUGAGAUAAUAAGAUGUUGUAGCACAAUGGGCACAAAUAUUUUUUAUACCCAGGCUAUGAUGCAGACUUCCCAAAAUCCAAACAUGGGAAGACAAGGUCUCUUUUGGCAAGGGACUUCCAGAGAGACUCGUCAAUGCUUUCAAUGUGGUAAAGUAGAACAUUUGAAAGCUCAAUGUUGGCAUAAAGAUAGAAUGAGAAAACAGGAUGGGAGAACAAGGCCCAAAACCCCAUGUCCAAAAUGUAACAGAGGCUUUCAUUGGGCAUUAGAAUGUAGAUUGAUUCAGAGAAAUGGGAUGUGGGACCCAGCCCUAGCACCCCAGGAAAAAAAAAACACUUGGGGCACAAUGAUAGCUGAUGCUAUACCCAGAGAGUCUUUAAGAGUUCUGUAUUCAGACAUGACCAAUCAGCCGAGAAGCAAUAUGAUGUGAGAAAGGGAUUACAAUUGGGGGGAAUAGAGUUGUAUGCAACUGGGACUACUGAGAUAUCUCCUGGAGAGGUGAAAUCUGAUCCUCCCCAGCCUAUAGAUCCCUUGCCUCCAGGCACAGUAGGCUUGACCAUUUCACCUCCUGAGAGUACUUACAAAACAGUGUCUAUCCAUACAUACAUCCCAUUUUGGGGAAUGUGUAGAUAAUAUCCCAGUCAUUAAUAUAGGUAGACAAUGUGUGACUUAUCAACCAGGAGAAAUAGUAGCAUCAGGUUUACUGAUACAGACUCCUAAUAGGCAAUCUGGUGAUACUUGCCCAAAAUUUGACUCCCAGCAAUAAAAUUCAGGAAUUUUCUGGAUUGCAUCUAUGCUCAUGUAAAUGUAUGCAAAUGGCAUACCAUUGAAAGGGUUGGUAGACACAGGUGCAGAUUGUAGUCAUUAGAGGUUGCAGCCAGCCCAGUCAUUGGCCAAAGAUUAAGGCAGACACCUUUAUGUCUGGCACAGAAGGAUCAAUAGCAGCUGAAGUUAGUGAUACCCCUUUGAGAUAGACAUUUGAAGGUGAAACAGGAAUUGUUACUCCUUUGGUAGUUGAAAAGAUCCCCAUCAAUCUGUGGGGAAGAGAUAUCUUACGAUAAUUAGGAUUACAAAUGAGUACUUUGGCUUUUUAGGCAGGAUUGCUGUUGAAGGCCUGCCAAUACUCUCACCUUCCUAUUCAAUGGAAAACUGAUACACCAGUGUGGAUAGAACAAUGGCCCUUAGCUAGUGAAAAAAAUUCAGGCCUUAUUAGAUAUAAUAUGGGAACAACUUGAUUAAGGACACUUAUAACCUUCUCUAAGUCCUUGGAAUUCCUUUGUAUUUGUUAUUUGAAAGAAAGAAAGAAAGAAAGAAAGAAAGAAAGAAAGAAAGAAAGAAAGAAAGAAAGAAAGAAAGAAAGAAAGAAAGAAAGAAAGAAAAGAAAAGAAAAGAAAUCUGGAAAAUGGGAGGAUAUUGACUGAUUUAAGAAAAAAUAAAUCAACAGAUGGAAACUAUGGGAACUCUUCAGCCUGGACUUCAAUCUACUACUCAAUUGCCUAGAGAAUAGCCUCUGACUUAUAGACUUUAAGGAUUGUUUCUAUUCUAUCCCUCUAGAUAAGGAGGAUAUGAAAAGAUUUGCCUUUUCAGUGACCAGUGUUAACUUAGCUGAGCCUUAUAAAAAGAUAUUAAUGGACAGUUUGACAGAAUUAAUGGACAGAAAAUAAAAAAUAGCCCUACUAUGUGCCAUUUGCAUGUUGCUGCUAUUCUCACUCCAGUAAGAAAAGCAUUUCCAGAAGUUAUGUUAUUAUAUUACAUGGAUGACAUCUUGGGUUGUGCACCUGAGGAGCGAAUGUUAGAAGCAUGUCUACAAAAGACCAUGGAAACAUUAAGGAACUACAAAUUGCAUAUAGCUGCAGAAAAAAUUCAAAGACAUGCUCCUUUUCAAUAUUUAGGAUAUGAAUUAUAUCCUAAGGUGCUUAUAAAAACUUCCCUUAACAACAGAGAAGCUAAUCAAACUGUGCAUACCCUUUGACCCAGCAGUGUUACUACUGGGCUUAUAUCCCAAAGAGAUUUUAAAGAAGUGAAAGGGACCUGUAUGUGCAAGAAUGUUUGUGGCAACCCUCUUUGCAGUAGCCAGAAACUGGAAACUGAGUGGAUGGCCAUGAAUUGGAGAAUGGCUGGAUAAAUUGUAGUAUAUGAAUAUUAUGGAAUAUUAUUGUUCUGUAAGAAAUGAUCAGCAGGAUGAUUUCAGAAAGGCCUAGAGAGACUUACAUGAACUGAUGCUGAGUGAAAUGAGCAGGACCAGAAGAUCAUUAUAUACUUCAAACAAUACUAUAUGAUGAUCAAUUCUGAUGGACAUGGCCCUCUUCAACAAUAAGAUGAACCAAAUCAGUUCCAAUACGGCAUUAAUGAACUGAACCAGCUACACCCAGCAAAAGAACUCUGGAAGAUGACUAUGAACCACUACAUAGAAUUCCCAAUCCCUCUAUUUUUGUCUGCCUGCAUUUUUUAUUUCCUUCACAGGCUAAUUGUACAUUAUGUCAAAGUCCAACUCUUUUUAUAUAGCAAAAUAACUGUUUGGACAUGUAUACUUUAACAUAUUGAACAUUUAUUGGUCAACCUGCCAUCUGUGGGAAGGGGUUGGGGAAAGGAGGGAAAAAGUUGUAACAAAAGGAUUUGCAACUGUCAGUGCUGAAAAAUUACCUAUGCAUAUAUCUUGUAAAUAAAAAGCUAUAAUAAUAAUUUUUAAAAAAAGAAAGAA